UCUCGAUUGGUCUAGUGGUCAGGAUACCUGCUUGUCAUGCCGGGAUAUCACGUCAUCAAGCGUGAUACUUAUCGUGUGCAAUACGCAGGUGGCCGGGGUUCGAUUCCCCGAUCGAGAG